GUGCUCGCUUCGGCAGCACAUUCGCUAAAAUUGGAAGGAGACAGAGAAGAUCAGCGUGGCCCCUGCGUAAGGAUGACACGCAAAUGCUUGAAGCGUUCCAUACAUUU